rnacentral:rRNA from 1 species
GACGAACGCUGGCGGCGUGCUUAACACAUGCAAGUCGAACGAAGUGGCGAACGGGUGAGUAAUACGUGGGUAACCUGCCCUCCUUUUUGGGAUAAGCCUUGGAAACGGGGUCUAAUACCGAAUAAAGGGGGAUGGGCACGCGUCCUAUCUGCUUGUUGGUGGGGUGAUGGCCUACCAAGGCGGAGACGGGUAGCCGGCCCUAGGGGUGGACCGGCCAACUUGGGGACGAGGACAGGGCCAGAACCCUACGGGAGGGAGCAGUGGGGGAUAUUGCGCAAUGGGCCGAAGGCUUGGGCAGCGACGCCGCGGGGGGGAUGAAGGUUUUCGGAUCGUAAAGCUCUGUUGUUGAGGAAGGAGGACUUAACCAGAAAGGGACGGCUAACUACGUGCCAGCAGCCGCGGUAAUAC